GACGAACGCUGGCGGCGUGCUUAACACAUGCAAGUCGAACGGAAAGACCCUGCUUUUGUGGGGUGCUCGAGUGGCGAACGGGUGAGUAACACGUGAGUAACCUGCCCUUGACUUUGGGAUAACUUCAGGAAACUGGGGCUAAUACCGGAUAGGAGCUCCUGCUGCAUGGUGGGGGUUGGAAAGUUUCGGCGGUUGGGGAUGGACUCGCGGCUUAUCAGCUUGUUGGUGGGGUAGUGGCUUACCAAGGCUUGGACGGGUAGCCGGCCUGAGAGGGUGACCGGCCACAUUGGGACUGAGAUACGGCCCAGACUCCUACGGGAGGCAGCAGUGGGGAAUAUUGCACAAUGGGCGGAAGCCUGAUGCAGCAACGCCGCGUGCGGGAUGACGACCUUCGGGUUGUAAACCGCUUUCGCCUGUGACGAAGCGUGAGUGACGGUAAUGGGUAAAGAAGCACCGGCUAACUACGUG
rnacentral:rRNA from 1 species